rnacentral:rRNA from 1 species
UACGUAGGGUGCGAGCGUUGUCCGGAAUUACUGGGCGUAAAGCGCACGUAGGCGGAUUGUUAAGUUAGGGGUGAAAUCCCAGGGCUCAACCCUGGAACUGCCUUUAAUACUGGCAAUCUCGAGUCCGAGAGAGGUGAGUGGAAUUCCGAGUGUAGAGGUGAAAUUCGUAGAUAUUCGGAGGAACACCGGUGGCGAAGGCGGCAUCCUGGACCGACACUGACACUGAAAAGCGAAAGCCAGGGGAGCAAACGGG